rnacentral:lncRNA from 1 species
AAAAACAAACUAAUGAAUGUCAUACGCAGAAAAGGCCCCGUAUCCAAAAUCACGCUGCACUUCUCUAAGCGGAUGAUAUCAAAAUUAAAAAACCGUCGUAAUCGCGUUCAUUAAGAUCUUCGGUUAUAUUUAAUAUUUGAAUUUGUACAAUUUUAAUUUUUUUUUCUUAUUGUUAGUAAAUGACCCUAAGUCAUUAAGUCAGGGUGUUCUGUUUAAGUCGGUGCAUUCAUUAUCUCGGAAAGUAUCAACUUUUUAGUAUCAACAAAAGACUCCUUUUAAGAUGAUACACGCUGGAGUAGAAGAACAGAAUAUUCUAAGGACAAAACCGAACAUUCCUGAUUCAGUGAAGUACAGGUAAUAAUUAAAGAAAUGUAUUACCUAUUUUAUUUUUAUAACAAUUUAUAAUUUAUUAUUUCUGUUGUAAUGGACGAAGUUAUAAAGGAAAUACAAGGCGAUGUGAGGUAUCAUGGUGCAUAAUAUUUACAGAUUUUAUAGUUUUGAUAAGAGAAAAUUUGGAAGAAGUUAAUAAUAAACUUUAGGAAUGGAGAGUAACACUUAAAGGAAAGGGAUUAAGGAUAAAUUUAUGUAAAACAGAGUUUAUAUAGUUUGAUUUUGAAGGAACAGGACAAGACAGCUAAUGACAAUAAGUAGUGAUAGGUAAGAUUAAGAGUUUUAAGUAUUAAGAUCUUUUUUUAAAAAAGAAUGGUGGCUUUGAUGAAGAUGUGAAACAUAGAAUUAAGUAUGAUUUCAAUGAGAUUUAAAGGUAAGUUAUACAAGAGUGUGGUAAUACCAGCUAUGUUGUAUGGUUUAGAGUGUUGGGUAGUAGAUGGGAAAAUAGAACAGAAAAUUAGUGUAGCAGAAAUAAGAAUGCAUAAAUUGAUAAAUGGAGUGACGAAAGAAGAUAGAUUAAGGAAUAAGUACAUAAGAGGUAGCUUAGGUGUGGCUUCUAUAGUAGACAAAAUGAGAGAAAAUAAACUCAAAUAGUCUUGGUAUGUCAUGAGAAGAGAGGAAACGGAAGCUGUAAGAAUUAUGAUGAAAAUAAAAGUUGAUGGAAAGGAGAGGAGAGAAAGACCAAAAACGAUGUAGUUGGAAUGAUGUGUGAAUGGCAUGUGUAUGCAAGGAUGACAUGUGGGAUCGAGUCAAGUGGAAAUAUUGGACAAUGGUGACAGACCCUAAAUAGUUGGAAUAAAGGCGAAGUAGAAAAAGAAGUAAUAAUUUAUAAUUAUUAUGCUCCUAUAUUAUAUCUUUGUAAUAGAAAUCUAUCGAUUCAACAUGAUAUAUUAACUGCAUCAUCUGGGGUUACUACUCUUUCAACUGAAUCUUCAAAGUACAACAGGUGAUAAUAACUACUUUUUUAUAAAACAAUUGUUAUAAAUCAUGGUUUUUCUACCUUAUAGAGUGUCCGUUAUAAGAAGGUGGUUUUAAUGUAUAUUAUGGCAGCUCUUAAAUGGAUCAUGGUUGAACUUUUAUGAAUGCACCCCCUAAGAUAGNAAUUUGAAAAUAUCAAAACCAAUAAUGCUGUAAGCUUUUCCCAUAUUUUCUACAUUUUUUCCCAAUUGUAAUGAAAACUGUUUAGAAAAUUAAAAAAUACCUCCUCUAUGUACUAACUACAUUUAACUAAUUUUGGAUCAAAAUAAAACAAAAAGAAAUUUCUUUUAAUUUUUUGAUUGGAACAAGAUUUCUAAUAGUUGCUGAUAGUCGCAGAAAAAAAAAAAUUUAAAAGAAAAUAUACAUGUAUAAAACCAAUAUGGUCUUCACUCUGCUCAGAAUCUAAAAGUAUGUAGUUAUUUUCUAAUUUUCAGUAGGGAAGUAACCUUAUAAAAUUAUCAAAAUAAAAUGUAAAUACAUUUUUAAAUUGCUUUUAUAUUUUUAUUUAUAAUAAAUAACUAACUGUUUAAUAAAUAUUUGAGAUGAAGGUGAAGGAGAAGAAGAGAACGUUAGUUUAAUGAGUUAGCGUAUUUGAGAAACUUGCUUAGCUUUGCUAUCUAUCCUGUUUUCAAGCUCACCAUCAAAAUAUAAUUAUUUUAAUAAAAUAAAUUUUGAAAUUGAAUAUUAACGUGUAUGAUGGAGAGUCCAAAAAAAAAAAAAAAGGUACAAAUGAAAUAUGAAUUCUUUUUUUUAUACCCACACAUUUUACUCGAGAUGGUAUGUAUUUUAUUGAAGUACACUUAAAUAUUUAAAUAUUUGGACCCGACAGCUGACAUACGCUAGUCAAUCUGUUCAAGAAUUCAUUGAGAUUAUAAUAUUUGUUGUUUCGGAUUUGAAGCGUAGCGAGGAAUCUAUCGGUUUUAUUAUGGUGUAUUACUUUUUGACCAGAAAUCUUGCUCCAAUUGAAAAAUGACAAGAUCCUUUUUUUGAAUUUCGUAUUUUGUUGGUGCAUUUUUUAAUUUUCCAAUCAGUUUUCAUAAUAAUUAAGAAAACCCAAAAACUAUGUAAAAUGUAAACUCACAAAUGUAUUAAAUGAUUAGUACAUUAAUCGUAGUUUGUGGCAGAGAAAAUGAGUUAUAAAAUUACUCUAUUUUAUAAUUUUAAUUUAGUUUACAAUGAUUUUAUAAAUAAUAAUGUUACUUGUUAAGUAUAUAACUAAAAUAUUAUUACAAUAUUCUGUAAUAUAAAAUAAUAAAAAUUGAUAUUGUUGGAGUUAAUGUUAAAAUAGUUUAAACAAAUUUAAAAUAGGAAAAUCAUAAGAAAACUGGGAAAAUUGGUACAACAUUUAAUACAUUUUACUUAAGAAAAUAUAUAAAGCCUAUUUAAUUAUUUUACUAUAAAAUGACAUAUAUAUUGUUGACAAUGCAUUACUAUUAACUUAACUCCGCUCAGAAUCGUUUUUUUUGGAAGCAAUAAAACGUGGUGUAAUAAAGUGAAUUGUUGCUUAUAGAUAUACAUUAAAUUCCUGUUUGUAUCUUACCUUCCCAACUUUCCAUCUACACUAGUGGCUGUACCCGUUUCCAUUAUCUUAUCUUUCUAUUUUUAUCUUUUAAUUGUUAUAAUUUAAAUUUUCUGAUUAACCAUAUUAAUUUAAUCAUAAUUAAGGUAUUCAUAUAAAAUGUUUUACUUCUAAGCCAAUCGAGUGUUAUAAAUCAAACUGAUGAGAGAAUUUAUUUUACUCAACUCAGAAAUGAUCUUAUUUGUUAAAAGGAACUCAAGGAAUUGAAAAGCUGAUAUUACAAAAUCAUCAGAUCAAAAGUACCAAAAGUAGCAAAAAAACUACCUAAGUUUAUGUGCAUAAAAAUAAAAUAUCAGAGGAAUUAAAAACUAAUGAAGAAAUAUAAAUGAUUUAUUGGUUUAGUUUAUUCAUUAUCUAUUUGUAUCACACCUUAGUUUUAUUAACUUCUGUGUGCUAAUAAUCAGAUUAUUAAAAUUAAAUUCUAUAUAGCAUUAUGUAGGGUUUUGACUUGUUGAAUAAAAUUAAAAUAAUCAUAUAAAAUUUUAAAGGUAUUGAAAAAUGUACAGGUUUUAUUAUUCAUGUGUUAAACUACUUAACUAUACAAGUAAUUGGUAUUUAUCUAAUAUCAUAACCUAUACAUACCCUAUUAUAAAUUAUAUAUGCUAUUAAUGUCAGUUUUUGUUAUAUUAAUUUCAGGAAUUCUGUACAAAUGUCGCAUCAAUUUUAAAUAAAAUUACAAGUGAUAACAUUAUUACUUUAGCUGAACAUUUUAGUGCAUUAACCAAUUGAUAUUGUUGAACUACUAAAGAAAAUAGUUGAUUUAAUUUUUGAAAAGGUGAUUUAUAAGCAAUGAAUAAAAUAUCUCUAAAUUAUUACUCAUUAACUUGUUGUUUAUUUUGUUGAUUUUUUAUCUUACAUUAUAGGCAAUUAAAGAACAAUGUUUUCACCUCAUUAUGUGGCUCUUUGCUCGGCUAUGAAAUCUGUGCAAGUAAGUUCUGGAAAAGAUAGGAAUAAGACAAUAUUUAAGAAACUAAUUAUCAGUAAAUGUCUGCGCUUAUUUGAAUCAGAAAAGGCACAAGAAAUGGAUUCUAUUAUAAAACUUUCAGGAAUAAAUUCUUGCACAGACCCAGUAAUUUAAUAAUUGUUCUAACUUACCAAUUAAUGCAUACUUUUAUUUAAUAAAUUAAACCAUUCUAGGAAAAGACAAAAGUAUUACAAACUAGAGUUUGAAGAAAAUGAAAGAAGAUUACACAAGCGUUCGGUAUGGAACUGCCAGUAAAAUAAAUAAAAUACAUAAUUUAUUAGAUUUAUUAAGAUUAACAGAUCUAGGAAUCAUCUCUAAAAUAAUAAAUAAAGCAUCAAAAUAGUUAGGUUUUAUAAUAUGUUACUGCUGAAAUUUUACAAAUAUUAUUACCUUAAAAUCACUAUUCUGUUUACUAGUCUGAUUAUGUCUUGAAUAUAACUCUGGUGAUGAAAAAAAAAAAUAUAUGUUUUGUGCACCUUCUAUAUGGGUGUGUAUGUGUACAAAAAUUAGCUACAAAAUUUUUUAGGUGAAUCGGAUGAAUUUCACCUUUACCGAAUUGAACUUAAGU